rnacentral:sRNA from 1 species
AGACAUGUAUUUAUCAUCAUUUAGCUUAGUGAUCACUCAUUGUUUCAUAUCAUUUUGCAUCACAUUUAGCUUAUUUUGCCAACUUAGGCAUUUAGGAUCAUCUUGCAUACAUAUUGCAUCUUUUGGUGUGUGUUCAGGUGUAGAAGAGCUUAAAAGGAUUCUACUCGACCAGUUCACUCGAUCCAGGCAGCUAUAGAGGAGGCAGCAAUUCACUCAACCCCUGUACUCGAUCCAGGCAGCCAUAGAGGAAGCAGUAGAUCAGUCUACUCGCCCAUCUUACUCGAUCCUCUACUAGACCCCUUUACUCGAUCAAGGGCGACCUACUCUACAAGACUUGUUGAUCUAUCAAAGCGUCUUCGGAUCCUCCUCAUUCCCCACUCAACCUGACAUCUGAGCAUACAGAUAGGAGAGGAAGAAGCAUCUACUCAUCCAAUUGAUCACUCGGAGCAUAGACACAAAGGCGCAGACUUCGCAGCACCCUCUUGUCUUCUAGUGAAUCUAGGGUUUUCAACAUUUUACAAUAAAUAGAUCACUUUGGGAUUUGUCCAAAGGAUCUAGCUUUUAUCCUUUAGUUUUUCUUUGUGUUCUUGAAUCUUCAAACCUUAAUUGCUCUUAAUCUAUUUCGUUUUUGUAUUUCGUUCUUUGAGUAAAGUUGUUUAGUUUGUUUAGAUCUACAUUUUGGUAUGAUUUCAUUAAUUUC